GUUGUAAAUGAACACUUUUGCACAUUUAUUGCAACUUACGAAGUUUAACUCUUUCUCAUUUUUUUCAGUGACAAUUGAGAAUUGUGUCCAGAUGUCUGACUUGCUUUGCUUUUGUCAAGUAAACAGCCGCUUUAAUCUUCUUCUCAACGUCAUGUUUUGACUCCAUUCUUAUUAUUAGGCUACACGGCCAAAUCCCACCGGGUCCCGCGGAUCUCCCGUUAAACAUGGAUCCUGCUUCUCACUCAUUACACUUAUUUUGGCCUUUUUUCAUAGACAUGGCUGCUUGUUUUUUCUUAAGGGAUCUGGCAACACAAGUGGGACAUUAUAAAAAGUUAUAAUGGUUAUAAUAGUAAUAAUGUUUAACUUUAUAAUAAUUGAGUUAGAGGUUCAUUAACUAAUUAUUAACUGAAUUAAAGUAACAAACUUGUGCCAUCACCGCUCCUAUCGGAAGUGAGAAAGAAAGGAAGAAAGAAAUUUUUUACUUCCUUCAUUUUUUUCUCUUUAUCCAUUCUAUCACAUUUACAGGAAGGUUUGUGUUGUGAAGAUUUCACAAAAGAAAAGAUUUUCCUUCUCCUUCAUCUCUCUCAUUACAGAGCAUUAGGAUGAACUAGAGGAAAAACAAAGUUAUACAUGAGGAUGUUAGAUAUGUCAUUUAUUUCUCUUGACUUAUUACAAACUGGACCAAAGUUGAGUGAAUAUUUUACAGCUGCAGGAGUAAAGCAGGUGAACAGAUGAGAGUUUACUGAACCAGGAUUCAGGACAAAAUGUGGAUAUGAGAAAAUCUCCAAAACACACAAGAGGAACUUCUCCAGAACACACAGGGUUUAUUUAAAGAAAAUAAAAAAGAUGAGUUGGUAUCAUGAGCAUGGCUGCUGUAAGACCUCGAAAGGUCUUUUAUAUCAGAUGUAAAUGAUGAGCUGAUCAUCAGUUAGGUAGCGAUUGGGUUGAAAAUCAACAUGCUGCACAGAUUGGACUUUACAAUCCUUCAUACAAAUAAAUUUGCUGUGAGGACAACCAGAAAAUCUUCUAAAGAUAAGAACAUGCCUUAUUGUCGUUGUUGUUAUUGUCACUUUAAUCUGUUGCUAAUUCUCUGUGAUUUAUUAAAGUGUUUAAUAAUGUGUAAUCUUGUCCAGUUCAUCAACACCACUAAAGUCUAUCUGUCUCUCAGUGAAAGAGAACAGUGGUCUGAUGUCCAUGUUCAGUGGUUUAGUGGUUAUAUGCUCGUUCAGUAACAAAACAUACACACGUGACUCUGGAUGUCAUUGUAUCAGAUGACCACUAGAUGUCCUCAUAACCUCAUAUAUGUAUAACAUCCAACGUUACAUCCCCGUUCCUAAGUAUAUUCCUUUAUACAGAUGCAUAGAAGUUCUGCACAAACUUUUAAGCACAACAUUUGAGUUUCAUCAACCAAUUUUUUCAGCAUAACUGCAAAAUUAUUCAACACAUUUUCACAAAAUUAAUAUUAAUACUCAGAAAUUAUUACAUUUCAACUUUAUAUCUUUGUAUUUUUCAGGUAUUUUUACAAUUCUUCCAGACCUUGUACGCUUUCCAUCAGGAGUCUUUACUAUAAAAGAAUGUGGAUGUUCAUGCUUUUCCAGAACAACAGCUGGCUUCCACGAAUCUCCCUUUUGCAUCCUUAUUCCUUCUGCAGGUUGCAGACCAGAUCAGUGACGUACCCUUGCUCCCUUGAGCUUGGAACUCCCGGCUCCCCUCCUCCUUAUGCCUAUGUUCGUCCCCUCUCUCCCACCUUUGCAUCUUCUUCCUCCGAUUCGAACCCUGGAUCUCCAGAUUACACUCCUACUACCCCCCUUUACUAAGUUCUAAUAAUAAACCUCUCCCCUUCUAUCCACCCUCUGA